UGUUUAAAGCAUACUGGAUGAAGGUUUCUCUGCUUGCUUCCAAGACCUCCGAAAGAGGGACAGAGUGGUUGCAUGUAGGAAAGAGGCGCUAUUUCAUCUUCUUUGCAGGGAGCGUGGCUCAGCGCUUACCUCCAGAAGUUGUGCGUAGGCAGAGCCGAAUGGACUACAUUGCAAGAUUUGUAGUGAUCACUUUUAUCGCAAUGGCAAUAUUUAUCUUGGAGAGGAGCGAAAUGGAGACGAGCGCAACCUGUCCUUUACAAAUAGAACAUCGGUAACGGCAACGUUCUUCUGGUCCAAGUGAAAAGAGUUCCCGUACCUCUCCACUGCUCUGAAGCAAACGGGCUGCUUCGGGAACUGCAAGAACAGCCGAAAAUGAAGCACCGUACAGGACACGCAGUUACUCCCGCGGAAGGCACUGGAAACUUCUAAAGGAGAACGCACAAGAGAAGAACAACAAUAUGUUGCUAUGUGGGUUUCUGCGCGAUUACAUGGGACUCAGUCUGACACCCAGACUGUGCAUGGUUAGAUUAGUCUCCAUGCCGGUACUACUAGUUUUGGGGACGUGCAGUUAAAAGUUUGACUUGUCAGUACUAUCCGCAGUAGUAAGUGUUGGUAAGCAAUGUGAGUCCAAUGGGGGUCAGUAUCACGGACCAGUCGCUAUUGUGCCUACUAUUUCUCCUAGAUGGCUGUAUUGUUACGAAUCGUGACCCGCACUCAGUCAAACAGCAGCCGAAGUACCCAGUACUUCUGCGGAUACACACAUGCGUCAUUGUGCCGUACAAUGCACUGUUUGGGCGCUCGUAUCUCGCCCAAGAGGCGGUACGUCGUAGCGAGUAACGUUUCGAGACUCAGGGCCGCCAGCGCAAGACUGGUUAUGCUCCCAGGCUCCGAUUACUGUAACCGCACCUCCACGCAUUAAAAUCUGAUAAUACUUCUUUGUGGGUCAGUUUGUCCACACCAGAAUGAUAAACCAGGCACGUGAAGGGAAGGGGGACACAAGAAAUGUGUUUUUGCGCUGUAUGUAUCUACAGGCCAUGGCUUCUGCGUGUAUCUUUAGAGAGAUAGCAGCACUCGUUAAAGUAGUACCGAUACGUACUUCCGAAGUUGUAAAAAAAAUCAUCUAGACGAUUCCCGCGAGUAACACGAUGACAUUUAACAAGUGCGAAGACUCGGAAACACAUUAAGACAUUUUGAUUGGUUGCUAAAGUUGGUUUCAAAAUAGCUGUUCUGGCGUCAUCGACCUUGUCGUGACGUCAAUACCCACAGUAAUAUUCCUGACCUCACGUAGCACUAAGGCUAUAGGUUCGGUGACCUUUCUAGAACUAUAAUUAGGAGUGC